GACAGAGGGUGCAAACGUUGUUCGGAAUUACUGGGCGUAAAGCGUGUGUAGGCGGCCAGAUAAGUUGGAUGUGAAAGCCCGGGGCUCAACCCCGGAAGUGCACUCAAUACUGUCUGGCUUGAGUAUCGGAGAGGUUGGUGGAAUUCUCGGUGUAGAGGUGAAAUUCGUAGAUAUCGAGAGGAACACCGGUGGCGAAGGCGGCCAACUGGACGAAUACUGACGCUGAGACACGAAAGCGUGGGGAGCAAACAGG
rnacentral:rRNA from 1 species